rnacentral:lncRNA from 1 species
UUAAAGUCACCUACCACCAACCAAAGAUAAUCUUGAUUUUUUCAUAGCCCCCGAAGCAGAUUCCAAGUAUCACUUCUGUUUCUUUCAUACGGCGCACUAUAAAAGUAGUAAAUCGCUACUCUUUAUUAGUGCUAUCAUCCUUAACUAGAACAUCGAUAUGGUUCCUUGAAAAACUCCUCAAGCUAAUAGUGGUAUCCUCUUUCCACGCCAAACAAAG